rnacentral:rRNA from 1 species
UACGUAGGGGGCGAGCGUUGUCCGGAAUCAUUGGGCGUAAAGCGCGUGUAGGCGGCCCGGUAAGUCCGCUGUGAAAGUCCAGGGCUCAACCCUGGGAUGCCGGUGGAUACUGUCGGGCUCGAGUCCGGAAGAGGCGAGUGGAAUUCCUGGUGUAGCGGUGAAAUGCGCAGAUAUCAGGAGGAACACAAAUGGCGAAGGCAGCUCGCUGGGACGUGACUGACGCUGAGACGCGAAAGCGUGGGGAGCAAACAGG